CCUACGGGUGGCAGCAGUCGAGAAUCAUUCACAAUGGGGGAAACCCUGAUGGUGCGACGCCGCGUGGGGGAAUGAAGGUCUUCGGAUUGUAAACCCCUGUCAUGUGGGAGCAAAUUAAAAAGAUAGUACCACAAGAGGAAGAGACGGCUAACUCUGUGCCAGCAGCCGCGGUAAUACAGAGGUCUCAAGCGUUGUUCGGAAUCACUGGGCGUAAGGCGUGCGUAGGCUGUUUCGUAAGUCGUGUGUGAAAGGCGCGGGCUCAACCCGCGGACGGCACAUGAUACUGCGAGACUAGAGUAAUGGAGGGGGAACCGGAAGUCUCGGUGUAGCAGUGAAAUGCGUAGAUAUCGAGAGGAACACUCGUGGCGAAGGCGGGUUCCUGGACAGUAACUGACGCUGAGGCACGAAGGCCAGGGGAGCGAAAGGGAUUAGAUACCCCGGUAGUC
rnacentral:rRNA from 1 species